rnacentral:rRNA from 1 species
UGGGGAAUAUUGGACAAUGGGGGGAACCCUGAUCCAGCCAUGCCGCGUGUGUGAAGAAGGCUUUAUGGUUGUAAAGCACUUUAAGCGAGGAGGAGGCUCUCUUGGUUAAUACCCAAGAUGAGUGGACGUUACUCGCAGAAUAAGCACCGGCUAACUCUGUGCCAGCAGCCGCGGUAAUACAGAGGGUGCGAGCGUUAAUCGGAUUUACUGGGCGUAAAGCGUGCGUAGGCGGCUUUUUAAGUCGGAUGUGAAAUCCCCGAGCUUAACUUGGGAAUUGCAUUCGAUACUGGGAAGCUAGAGUAUGGGAGAGGAUGGUAGAAUUCCAGGUGUAGCGGUGAAAUGCGUAGAGAUCUGGAGGAAUACCGAUGGCGAAGGCAGCCAUCUGGCCUAAUACUGACGCUGAGGUACGAAAGCAUGGGGAGCAAACAGG